rnacentral:lncRNA from 1 species
CAGCAGCAAAACCCACCCAGACUCUGAAAUGACAGUGUCACAGAAUUAGUGACCCCACUUCUCUGAUCUCCUGUACUCUUUUCUGACCUCCUCUCUGACUUCCUGUACUCCUCUCUGACCUGUGUGAUGGUUUGGGGUCAGCAUGGUGGUGGUGGUAGUGUGAUGGUGCCGAUGAAGAUCCAAGCAAGCAUGGUGGUGGUAGUGUGAUGGUUUGGGGUCAGCAUGGUGGAUGUAGUGUGAUGGGUUUGGGGUCAGCAUGGUGGUGGUAGUGCGGGAGGGGGUGCAUGGUUGUGGGUAGCAUGGUGGUGUGUAGUGGUGAUGGUUUGGGUGUCAGCAUGUGGUGGU